UACAGAGGUCCCAAGCGUUUGUUCGGAUUCACUGGGCGUAAAGGGUGCGUAGGUGGCUUGGUAAGUUUGAUGUGAAAUCUCCGGGCUUAACCCGGAAAUGGCAUUGAAUACUAUUGAGCUGGAGGUUUGGAGGGGGGGACUGGAAUUCUCGGUGUAGCAGUGAAAUGCGUAGAUAUCGAGAGGAACACCAGUGGCGAAGGCGAGUCCCUGGACAACACCUGACACUGAGGCACGAAAAGCUAGGGGGAGCAAAACAGG
rnacentral:rRNA from 1 species